rnacentral:rRNA from 1 species
GAUGAACGCUGACGGAAUGCUUAACACAUGCAAGUCAACUUGAAUUUGGGUUUUUACCUUAGGUUUGGGUGGCGGACGGGUGAGUAACGCGUAAAGAACUUGCCUCACAGCUAGGGACAACAUUUGGAAACGAAUGCUAAUACCUAAUAUUAUGAUAAUAGGGCAUCCUAUAAUUAUGAAAGCUAUAAGCGCUGUGAGAGAGCUUUGCGUCCCAUUAGCUAGUUGGAGAGGUAACGGCUCACCAAGGCGAUGAUGGGUAGCCGGCCUGAGAGGGUGAUCGGCCACAAGGGGACUGAGACACGGCCCUUACUCCUACGGGAGGCAGCAGUGGGGAAUAUUGGACAAUGGACCGAGAGUCUGAUCCAGCAAUUCUGUGUGCACGAUGAAGUUUUUCGGAAUGUAAAGUGCUUUCAGUUGGGAAGAAACAAAUGACGGUACCAACAGAAGAAGUGACGGCUAAAUACGUG